GUGAAUUCGUGUACUUUGAAGCGAGUUAAGACCUGGCCCCUGAAAAGGCUAAGCAGCUGAGGAAUUUAUUGAAAGAAUUGAUGUGCGUCUACAACUUGCGCUGAGCCAGAGCGAACAAGAUUUCAAAGAUCAAACGGUUCCAGCUGCCGGUGCCUAAAGAGGAAGAGUCACAAUCACAUCUGUUAGAAUUGCUGAACAUUUCUCUGCUCGCCACGAGUAUUUUAAGUCCACCAUUGGGCGCCACACAAUUUACUGAAAUCAUUUUGUAUCUUCAACACAGCAUCACUACGCGAUGAAAUGGAUUCUCUGUCUGAUUACGAGCAAAUAACUGAAAACACCGCAAUCAUGUUUAGGUGAAAAUUCGUCAUUAGUUAACUUGGAUAAUCUAAUAAAGCCCGUGCAAACGCAGUGACAAGCUGGCAAUGCUGCCUACAAUCCAUUUAGCGAUACUGUUGUACCACCAAAAACAAAUCUAUUCCUACAACAACAGCCUGCGGUACCGCCCAUUAACCAGCUUAAACAGCAAAAGAGUUUUGCUUUGACUAUGAAUCCGGAUCCUUGGGCGCCGAUUGCUAACUCCACUAAUGUGUCUCAGCUGUUCUUUUCUCCUUUUGACAACUAAGUCCUCCAGAAACUUCUUCACUGUUUACGAUAGCGACGACUUUACAAGUUUAAAUAGCACCAGCGAGCAUAAUCACAAUGACAUACUUAAUAAAU